rnacentral:rRNA from 1 species
GAACGGUAGCACAGAGAGCUUGCUCUUGGGUGACGAGUGGCGGACGGGUGAGUAAUGUCUGGGAAACUGCCCGAUGGAGGGGGAUAACUACUGGAAACGGUAGCUAAUACCGCAUAACGUCUUCGGACCAAAGUGGGGGACCUUCGGGCCUCACACCAUCGGAUGUGCCCAGAUGGGAUUAGCUAGUAGGUGGGGUAACGGCUCACCUAGGCGACGAUCCCUAGCUGGUCUGAGAGGAUGACCAGCCACACUGGAACUGAGACACGGUCCAGACUCCUACGGGAGGCAGCAGUGGGGAAUAUUGCACAAUGGGCGCAAGCCUGAUGCAGCCAUGCCGCGUGUAUGAAGAAGGCCUUCGGGUUGUAAAGUACUUUCAGUGGGGAGGAAGGCGAUGGAGUUAAUAGCUUCGUCGAUUGACGUUACCCGCAGAAGAAGCACCGGCUAACUCCGUGCCAGCAGCCGCGGUAAUACGGAGGGUGCAAGCGUUGAUCGGAAUUACUGGGCGUAAAGCGCACGCAGGCGGUCUGUCAAGUCGGAUGUGAAAUCCCCGGGCUCAACCUGGGAACUGCAUUCGAAACUGGCAGGCUAGAGUCUUGUAGAGGGGGGUAGAAUUCCAGGUGUAGCGGUGAAAUGCGUAGAGAUCUGGAGGAAUACCGGUGGCGAAGGCGGCCCCCUGGACAAAGACUGACGCUCAGGUGCGAAAGCGUGGGGAGCAAACAGGAUUAGAUACCCUGGUAGUCCACGCUGUAAACGAUGUCGACUUGGAGGUUGUGCCCUUGAGGCGUGGCUUCCGGAGCUAACGCGUUAAGUCGACCGCCUGGGGAGUACGGCCGCAAGGUUAAAACUCAAAUGAAUUGACGGGGGCCCGCACAAGCGGUGGAGCAUGUGGUUUAAUUCGAUGCAACGCGAAGAACCUUACCUACUCUUGACAUCCAGAGAAUUCGCUAGAGAUAGCUUAGUGCCUUCGGGAACUCUGAGACAGGUGCUGCACGGCUGUCGUCAGCUCGUGUUGUGAAAUGUU